UUAGGCAAACGCUGCAUAUAAUUUAUGUAGAGGAAAGUCCAUACUCGCACAGAUCUGAAAUGGCUGUAGUGUUCGUGCUAAAGGAAAGAAUAACUUUAGGUAGCUUAAAGCUAACGGCUCUGAAAUAAUCAAGAACUGAUUAAAGUAAGUAUAAAAGUGUCAUAGAGACGAGCUAUUUAGGAAUAAAUAGAGUGGAACGUGAUAAACCCCACGAGCGAGAAACCCAAAAUAUGGUAGGGGAAUUUUUACGAAGGAAACAAACGGAGUAAAGAAGUAGAAAUACUAGAUAAAUGUUUGCCACCUAUAUGGUACAGAAUAUGGCUUAUU
rnacentral:RNase_P_RNA from 1 species